rnacentral:rRNA from 1 species
AACGAACGCUGGCGGCAUGCCUAACACAUGCAAGUCGAACGAAGUCUUCGGACUUAGUGGCGCACGGGUGCGUAACGCGUGGGAAUCUGCCCUUGGGUGCGGAAUAACUUCUCGAAAGGGAUGCUAAUACCGCAUAAUGUCGUAAGACCAAAGAUUUAUCGCCCAAGGAUGAGCCCGCGUAAGAUUAGCUAGUUGGUGGGGUAAAAGCCUACCAAGGCGACGAUCUUUAGCUGGUCUGAGAGGAUGAUCAGCCACACUGGGACUGAGACACGGCCCAGACUCCUACGGGAGGCAGCAGUGGGGAAUAUUGGACAAUGGGCGAAAGCCUGAUCCAGCAAUGCCGCGUGAGUGAUGAAGGCCCUAGGGUUGUAAAGCUCUUUUACCAGGGAUGAUAAUGACAGUACCUGGAGAAUAAGACUCCGGCUAACUCCGUGCCAGCAGCCGCGGUAAU